GAUCGCCAACCACAGAUGGAUAUGUUAGGAGUGGGGACAGUCGGUCCCUCUCCACAGUGUGCAACCCAGGGAGAGGAGAGUGUCGUCCUCCAUCUCCAGCAGCCAAGUGUGUUAUUGGGAGAAGGGACAGGCGGUCCCUCUCCACAGCGGCAGAGUGCUUUACAGGGAGGGGAGACAACCGGUCUCACUCCCCAGCGGCGGAGUAUAGUAUUGGAA